UCGUGAUCUUCCCGUGUCAGCCUCCCAAAGUACCGGGAUUACAGGCGUGAGCCACUGCCCCCAGCUGUGUAUUUUUUAAUAGUACUUUUCACUGUAGUUAUUGAUGAAUACGUCUUAUUUCCCCUCCUGGUAAGUUCUGUGGGUCCAGGCUUUGUGUUAGUCAUCAUUUUCUGUUUUCUUCUCAUCCGAUCCUCCACCCAGGCUUAGCACAGGGUCUUAUGCAUCAUGGAUAUUUAAUAAAUACCCAUCGAACCUCAUUAUGGCUUUACACAGUUGUGUAUUAUGGCUUCUUGCUGAACACAUUGUGUUCAGUCGUGCAGUCAAGACAACAUAAUUGGACCCCACAUCCAGCCUGAUUUCCCACGACUUUACUUUGAGAACCUGCCCGAGUUAGCUGGAUCUUCAGCAAGUCAUAUAGAUACCAUCUCUGUCUCUUUGCUCAUCCCACUCUCUGGAUCUGAAAUGCCCCCUCACUCAUCCUGCCCACUUGAUUGGCUUGAUUUGGAUUCUCCCUUGUCUGUGAAGGGUGCCCUGACAGCUCCUGCCCACACUGAUGUGUUUCCUCCUUUGAAUUCCUGUAGCAUUUACAGUCUGAGCUAUAUACCUAAGCAGUGAAUCAUAUCAGAUCUUGGCCGUAGGUGAAUUUCCCCAUCUAAAAAGUAGGAAUGAUGCCACCUGUUUCGCCAAAUUAUUGUGGAGGUGGUGACAUGAAACAAGUGGGAGAAAGCACUUUGUAAACUAUUAAGUGCUGUGCACAUCUUUUUUAUUGUUUAUAAAUAUGUAUCCUUUGAACGUUGCAAUCUCCUUGAGCUCAGAGAUUAUAUCUAAUAGCUCUUGCGGUUCUUCUAAAGCCCCUGAGCAGUGCUGGAUACACAGGAAAUGUUCAUCAAAUAUUUGUUGACUGGAUCAUCAUAUUUUAAAUGUAUGUGUGUGUGUUUUUUUUUUUUUUUCCUUCUAGGAGCUAUUCAUCACUAAUGAAAGUUGAAAAUAUGUCUUCAAAUCAGGAUGGCAAUGAUUCAGAUGAAUUCAUGUAAAAGGAGAAAAGGACCUUUGAAAGAUGUGAAUGUAGAGACAAUUGCAGACCUUUUGGUUUCAUCUGUGUUCUGAAGUAUAAAAUACAACCAAAAUUCUACCUUCAUCCUACCCAGAAAUUAUUGAUUUUUGAGUUUUAAAAAAAUUGUACCUUUUUUGCUGACAGAAAAGGAUCAGAUAUGUAUAAAAUAGUUGAACUUGACAGCAUAUAACCUAACGUGAAAAUGUUUUUGCCAGAACAUGUCUUGGUACCUUGUGAAAGCAGGCUGCCCUUGUUCUUGAGAUAGACUUUAAAAUGAACCAACUCUGAAAAGUACUUCUGUUGCUCUGGUCUAUCCCUGAAAACAGAUGUCUUGAAACACUUUUCAUAGUCUUAAAAUAAUCUUCACUUCUGUUAAGAAGAACAUGUUGCUGGGUAAUUAUGCGAAUGUUUCCCUGUCCCUGAUUUCCCGAUUAGAAAAAAGGGCAUAUGGGUUUUGAAAAAGAGAUUUUUCAGAAGAUUGUAAGCUUCAGUAUUCACGUUCCAUCGUGUCAUCUGGGUCUGUAGUGUAGUGACCCUCAACAGUCUGUCCCAGCUUUUAUAUCCUUGCUUCCUCUGAGCAGGGGCCGCCAUCUUAGUAUCAUCAUAUUUAAAGAAAUUGAUGGUGUUCAUCAAGGUAGGGCCUGUGGCAGUUGUUGCCUGAGCACCAAGUAACCCAAGCCACCUAUGCGACAACUUCUGGGCCCAGGAGUAAUUUCUCAGCAUUGAGGGUAAAAUAGGAUGGAGUGCUCUGUUGAUCAUUUGGGAGAUUACCUGAUUUGUGCCUUGGGAUGCAGCGUGAAGCAGAAGUCCAUAUUGCAAUUAUGAUUUUAGAAGGAACUAAGUGUUUCACUAGCCAGCCGAGCAACUAUUUUCUUUACCUUGAAGUCAUAUUUGAGUUGUAACCCCAGAGUUAAUUUCUCAUUGUAGAUUCAGUAACUUAGUAUGUAACAUUACUUCUCACGUGAACCACUCGCUAUCUGUUGUGAUUCUGAGCAGAAGAUGUCUUUUGAUUGCAGUAUGUAAGGCAACCCCUGUAGAAGGAGACAAAACAAGGAGAAAGAGAACAAAGCCUGCCAGACCAGAGGCGAAGAGAUGGAUAUUUUACUCACACCCACAGCAGCAAGAAUGACCUUCUGCAGCAGAUAUUCCACCUGUAAUAGCACUUUGGAACUGUGGGCAAAACCAAAAGGCUAGUGUUUCCAUUUAUUUCACGUUGGUGAAUGGGGUUGAACUGGAAAAUUCACUGAGGCAUAACUCACUGGCCAAAUUUUGAGAGGGGAUAGAAGAUGACUUUAGAGAUGAGUGGUUUUGUUUAUGUGUCUAAUGAUAUUCAGUCUGACGUUCUGCAAUUUUAAAAGUUAUAAUAAAGUAUCAUUUUUUUUUAUCUGGAAGGACAUUGAUAUAUGUAUUCUUAGAAUUUGCUAUAAAAAGGGUAGCCCCCAUUCCACAAGCUGAUUUUGAGGGUGAUCUUACUGUAAAAAACCUCAUUCAUCAUAGGCUUAGUCUGACAGAUUCUGUAGGGGGCUAUCAUCUUUCUCCUCCUCUGCUAAAUGCCUCUUUCUUCCAGCUGCUCACUGGGUCAAAGGGAUGUCCUUUCUCAGAUACACUCUUGAUUGACUGUGAAUUCAUAGCUGUGCUCCUUCCAUACUUCCAAGGAGUCCGGCUUCUCCAGAAUUCCUCUGUACCUCACACUGCAACACGUGUAGAUAGCGCCUUUGAAGAAUACCUAUAUUUUUACUAUAGUAUGAGAAGUCCUGGGGCUCAAAUUUUAAACAUUUCCUAACUCUCAGCUUACACUGGUUUAAAAUGUCCAGGUCUCUCUGCUGAAUUCUCUUGUUGAAUUCGUAACUGUCCAACCUCAUCUGUGUUGAUUCCUACGCCCCCACUCCCCAGCCUCUGUGUUUUAUUUUUUUCCCCAUCUCUGUUGGUCCCAGGGAAAGCGAGGACGUUUUCUUUUGAGGACUUAUAGGUUGAUCGCCCACAGGUCAAACUGUUGGCAUUCAACCGCUCUCAUUUCUUGCUAUUGGAUUGUUUCCUAAACGUUGGAUAGGGGAAAUAGAAAUUGUUGCUAUUUUUAUGAGCUGUGCCCUUGAUCAAAUCUGUGCUGUGGGUCUGAGUCACUUUGCCAACACUGUCUUCAGUUUCACCACUCUGAUCAGCAUGCAGGCGAGGGGCAUGUUUAGUUUACUUCCCUAACUGCUAUCUUCUAUAGCUUUGGACUUCAUAUUUCUUAUCCACUUUUGUCUAGGCUUUAUGGGCAGGGGAACUUUGUCACCGUGGUUGGGCUAGAACAAAUCUUAAGAAGUUUACCAACACAGAUGUUGAGAAGUUUAUCGAAAAGCACUGACAUUAGCAGAAUAGGUGAUGGACAUUAGUUGAAUCUCUUCAGUGUCUGUGUGUUUUGUUGUAUUGUCUUUAACUUGUUCUUGAAGCAUAGAUUGCAGCGAGCCUUUCAGCUGUUCAGUGCCAGCGGUUUUCCCCACUCAGAAAAGAUGGUGUGAGCCAUGCACACAGCCGGCAGGAUUAGACGGGGAGAGUUUCAGCUGCAGCUUCUAGUUUAAGACCAAAGCCCUUCCUCCCACUAUUGCAUCUGUCUGAGAGGGGGAAGUUCUUGUUUUCCAAGCUGGAACUGUUUAUGAGGAAAACGGAGCAGGGUGGCAAAAUGGAAAAGGAACAAUUUUCUAAUUUUUCCUGACACGUGAUACUGAGGCCUGCUUUUUCUUUGAUUUGAGGUACAGCAUGUGAAUAACAAAUUUCCAUAUUCAAAAUGAUCAUAUUAGAGUGACUGGAUGACCUUUUGAUUUUAAAGCAGACUAAAACCUAAUCAGACUACAACGAAAAGUAUACAAUUAGAAACUUAAAUUCCAAGCUAAAUUUCAGCUUUGACCCACCUAACUCCAGUGAAUAGGUGGCAGCUCAGAAACAAGGACGGCACCGCUGCUGCCUGGGGAAGCUCACAUCCAGCUGGCACUUCGUGAGAGCUCCUUCCUGCCAGGCACGUGUGAGUUCAGCGUGGGCAAGAGACUUUUAUGCACAUUCUGUCAUUCAAAAGGGAGACGAUACCAACCCCAGAUGCAGCAUGUCCUGAAUGAAUGAUCUGUAAAAUACAAUAAUAAAAGCUUAUAGUUUGAGUAGAA